AGCUUGAGCAGUGACAGUAUCAUAGACAAGGAAGUUUAUUUGAGGAGUGAUUACUGCCAGUAGAAAGCUUCUGCCACUAUCCGGGCAUGACAACUCGCAGUAUAAUUGACACUGUCAAUCCAUUAUAGUCUGUAGGGAGA
rnacentral:snRNA from 10 species